GCAUGAGACCACGGGAUCUUCGGAUCCUGAGGCUAAAGAUCGCACCGGCUUGCCGGUGCUGUCUCCCGGGGAUGGGCCCGCGUCCGAUUAGCUAGUUGGCGAGGUAAUGGCUCACCAAGGCUACGAUCGGUAGCUGGUCUGAGAGGAUGAUCAGCCACACUGGAACUGAAACACGGUCCAGACUCCUACGGGAGGCAGCAGUGAGGAAUAUUGCGCAAUGGGGGAAACCCUGACGCAGCAACGCCGCGUGGGUGAAGAAGGCCUUCGGGUCGUAAAGCCCUUUCGGACGGGACGAACGCUCCGCGGUGAAAGCCGCGGAGUCUGACGGUACCGUAGGAAGAAGCACCGGCUAACUCCGUGCCAGCAGCCCGCGGUAAUACGGAGGGUGCGAGCGUUGUUCGGAAUUACUGGGCGUAAAGCGCGUGUAGGCGG
rnacentral:rRNA from 1 species